rnacentral:rRNA from 1 species
AGAGUUUGAUCCUGGCUCAGGACGAACGCUGGCGGCGUGCCUAAUACAUGCAAGUAGAACGCUGAAGACUUUAGCUUGCUAAAGUUGGAAGAGUUGCGAACGGGUGAGUAACGCGUAGGUAACCUGCCUACUAGCGGGGGAUAACUAUUGGAAACGAUAGCUAAUACCGCAUAACAGCAUUUAACCCAUGUUAGAUGCUUGAAAGGAGCAAUUGCUUCACUAGUAGAUGGACCUGCGUUGUAUUAGCUAGUUGGUGAGGUAACGGCUCACCAAGGCGACGAUACAUAGCCGACCUGAGAGGGUGAUCGGCCACACUGGGACUGAGACACGGCCCAGACUCCUACGGGAGGCAGCAGUAGGGAAUCUUCGGCAAUGGGGGCAACCCUGACCGAGCAACGCCGCGUGAGUGAAGAAGGUUUUCGGAUCGUAAAGCUCUGUUGUAAGAGAAGAACGUGUGUGAGAGUGGAAAGUUCACACAGUGACGGUAACUUACCAGAAAGGGACGGCUAACUACGUGCCAGCAGCCGCGGUAAUACGUAGGUCCCGAGCGUUGUCCGGAUUUAUUGGGCGUAAAGCGAGCGCAGGCGGUUUAAUAAGUCUGAAGUUAAAGGCAGUGGCUUAACCAUUGUUCGCUUUGGAAACUGUUAGACUUGAGUGCAGAAGGGGAGAGUGGAAUUCCAUGUGUAGCGGUGAAAUGCGUAGAUAUAUGGAGGAACACCGGUGGCGAAAGCGGCUCUCUGGUCUGUAACUGACGCUGAGGCUCGAAAGCGUGGGGAGCGAACAGGAUUAGAUACCCUGGUAGUCCACGCCGUAAACGAUGAGUGCUAGGUGUUAGGCCCUUUCCGGGGCUUAGUGCCGCAGCUAACGCAUUAAGCACUCCGCCUGGGGAGUACGACCGCAAGGUUGAAACUCAAAGGAAUUGACGGGGGCC